rnacentral:lncRNA from 1 species
CCGGACGCAGUGCUGUAAAAUAAAGGCGCACCCCAAGUGUUUCUCUAUGGCCCAUUGAAAAGUCUUCAAAUUACUUAAAUUAAGGAUAAGCAGAAGAUAAUAUGACUCAAAUGGACAGUCGCCGUUAGCCGCCUCCGCCACCUCCCUAGCCUAUUGAUCGACCCGUGAGCAAGCUAGAAAACGCGAGACCAGAUGCGCCAUAACACCAGCAGGUUCCCAUGAAAGCGAGACCAACACGUUCGCCGACAGGGCUACAUGCGUUUCGUCGGGGUCAAAUCGUUGGACUCCAUGCCGACCCCCUACUGACACUAGUAUUAAAAGCAACGUAUAACGCGAUGCCACCAGCGAGGGUGCUUACCACUUGUCAGCAAGAGAAUCUUUACUCUUCUCCGCGCUGUAAAUAGUUAAAAACGAAAGCCACUCUCUAUUCGUGAGAAUGAAAACGAAACGAGGCUUGUUUAUUCUCGAGUGACACCUCUCCCAUUCUUUUUCCGCCAUUUUUCCGAGAAUUAUUUUUUUAUAGGGCGAAGAAAUGGAGGUCGUUAAGAAAUAGCGGAAAUUGUGGUAGUCGGCAGGGGAGUUUAUAAAUACCAAGUCGAUGCGCACUUUAAAAAUUACUGAUUACAGAUUCCGAUACUAGAAAGGAAAUGAAUAAAGUACACAGAUAAUACAUGCUUAAUCAUAACUGUAGUGCAAAACAGAUACACUUAUCCACGAUUGUAUCUUGAUAAUGGAUAUAAGAAAAGGAAAUCAGAGAAGACACGAAUUAAAUAAUUUAAAAAUUUAUUGACAAAGUAAAUGUAUCGUUUGUCGAGCAUGCGUGAUUGAUGAAGAAAACCGACCUUUGACAUUAGGCGAGAAACUGGCGGAUGAAAUGCUUGUUCAAUAUUCCUUAUCGCAAAUCAACAAUGUUACCGGAUGAACGCGCGUAGCACCGACGAAUUUGGCCUAUUUGCGGAAGAUGAAAGGGAAAGAAUAAAAUUCGCCUAUCAAAAGAAUAUAGAUUGCGGAAGGUUAGUGACGCUCUCUCCACGAGUUGGCACAAAAGCGAAGCAGAUCGCUCGAUGGACGGUAAAAACCAUUCCCCUUUUAUGCAACGAGCGAUAUAUAAGAGACAUUUUAUGAAUAGGCAAGCACGAUUUAAUUCCUGUGGAGGCUUUAAAUGCCGAAGGAAAAAAUCUGUUCGGAUUAUUGUCUGCUGUAACUACUGAAACGUUUCAAUGGUCAAACGAUCCUCAUAGAAUCCUUUUCAACUGCCUUUGGAAGUUAAUCGAAGAACUUAAAUAUAACGAAGAAUUCCAUUACGAAUAUGCACGAACCGUGCAAACCUAACCUAAAAAAAAUUGUUUCAAAGUUGACCUUGUGAUGUCUUUGAUAAUCUGACCUCUGGUUUUUUCCAUGAAACUCUAACAACCCCGUUGACCUAUUUCAACCUCCCACCUUUCUAUGACACCUCUAUUCACAAAUUAAAAGGGGACGCCUUUAUUUCUCCAUUUAAAAGUUUACUUGGAAAGUUCGGAACUUUCUUUGAAAGGUGUAUUUGAAAGCUAUUGAAAGUAUUUACCACAAAAUUUUCUCCUCGUUUUAAAAAGAUAUCGAAUGAAAGAAGAAAGUAACGCAAUCCUAAUCAAGCUGAUGAAAGUAUAUAGUUCUUUAUAAAUAUAAUAAGACUACGAUAAACGUAGUCGCAGUAGCAUGUUCCAGGCACAGAUGAUCACAGCACACAUCGAAUGACGUCAAAACACGUUGAACCUGCUGGUACGAUAUGUAUAUGUACAGUGACGUAAGCAAAAGAUUUCUUCGGGCAACGAAAGG